GCAAGUGCUUUCGAAGUUCUCAGCGACUCCACUGGGAGAACUCCCGGGUCCAAGGACCGAUGCAGAGGGCGUCCAACCUCCUCCUCUCCCGGUGGGCUUCAGCGCAGCCGCAGCCCGCAGCAGGAGCCACAGGGCUCCCACUGGCCCUAGGCACAGCAGAGAUUGUUUUGCCAAGGAAAGGCGCUGUGUGGGCCGGGUUCGUUCUGGGCUCCCAAGGAGGCUUUAAAACCCUGUCCUUUGGGUCCCUCCACUCCCAUCUUCUGCUUUCCUCGCAGGCGUCAGGCUGCGAGGAAAAGCCGCAAGCUCCGCCGCAGGCGGCCCAGCGUGGGCUCCGAGAAAGGGAGCCGUUAGGCGACGUCCCCGCGACCCCGCGCCGCCCAAUCAGCGGGCGGCUUUCAUCGGUUGGCCGCUCCUCGCGCACGCACAGCGGUUCCUUCAACGGUUUUUAGGGGAGCAGCGUCGAGGACCAGGCGCCUGCUGCUUGCGAGUCGCUCCUUCCCAGCCGCCCGCCAAAGCGCUGCUCCCCGCGGGAGCGGGACGUAGGAGGCGGGGCCGCCCCGGUCUCCCGGGCGCGCCUUGCUCUCGCUGUGCCGUUAGGCGGCUCUGAGACGCCGGCCUCGAGCUGCAGAGGACCGCGCCGCCUGGGCUGUGCGAGGAGAGGCGCGCUGGCGAAGAUGGCGGGCGGCGGAAGGUGCGGCGCUGCCCGGCCGGCUCGCUUUCCCGUUCGUCCCUCGCGUAGCGCCUCGGGUGCGCGGCUGGCUGGCGGCUCGGCCUGGCUCUCGGGGAGCGGCGUCACCGGCGCGCCGUGCGAGGCCCUCGCUCCCCGGGCUUCCGGCUGCCUGGUGAGCGGGAGGAGAGAAGAGCCCGGCGGGCGCCAGGGUGCCGGGACGCCUCUCCGCGCUUGUGGCAGCGGCCCUCCGGGAGCGGAGGGGCGCCUUCUCGCGGUGAGCUGUGCAGCGACCUCCGUGGGAGAGCGGAGCGCGCCAAGGAGAAACCCUGAGGUUCAGAGUGGAGAUCAGGCUUUGCUGUGUAUAAGAACCUCUGGGCUUUUAUUGUUCUUAGUUUAUGGAAAAAGUUAAAAUAGCAGGUAAAGAGCAGGCUUUUUGCUGGUAGCUUUUUAAAAAAAAAGAUAAUAAGGCGGGGGCUGGGGAUUUAGCUCAACGCAUAAGCGCCUGCCUUGCCAAGCACGUAGUCGUGAGUUCGAUCCCCAGUACGGAUAAAAAAAUUUAAAAAAAGAUAAUAAAAAUCCUAGAAACAAACCAGAACAAAGCCAAUCAAAACAAAGCAGCACAAUUGUUACAGAACUUCAAAGUGUUAGGUUUUCAGUGCGAUAGAGAAGCAAAAGUCCAAAAAGAACAGGUUUAUUGAGAUGCGGAUGUGGAAAGAAGCACACAACCAAUUGGGCUGCUCUCAUUCCACCAGAAUAGGGGCCAUAGGGGAGAUAUAUAACCUUUGAGUGGAGGUGGUGCUUAGGGUGGGCAUUGGUAAUGCGUAAAGAGCUGAUUGGAGUUUUCUUUUCGUGCAAACAGGAAGGGAGUUGCAAUUAGGGCUGAAGAAGAAGCAGGAACGAGUAGGCGCUCCCACUUUGCCCUCUGCCAUGUUAGACCAUCGCCAUAACCAUACAGUAAUUUAUGCUAGAGCAAGAACCUUUCAUUCCCCUCUUUGUAUUGUUAGGAAAAGGACAAAGUCUCUCUCUUACUACUUCCCACUGAAAAGGAGUGCCAUAUUGGGGUGCAGGUAGGUUGACGGGAUGAUGGUUCAUACCCCUAUAGAAGCUGGUACCAGGUGUUUCAGCCAGGAUAAGAAAUCAAUCACUGGUGAACGCUUGCAUCUAGAUUGGAGAAAUAAAAACACAAGGUGCUAUAAGAAGCUGAUCACAAUCAUAAUUAAAGGACCCAGAAAGGGUAGAAGGAAAGUGCCCUUGAUCCAAAUGUGUCAUUCCAUCAGGGCCAUGGUGAGGAAGAAUCUGAAAAAUAAGCAUGGGGUUGGGAGGGCUGGUGUUAGGAGAGGUAAUUAUUCUCCCAUCUGAAAGGGUAGAAGUUAAAAGUAGGUAGAUAGGGGCUGGGGAUUUAGCUUAGCGGCAUAGCAACCUGCCUUGCAAGCAGGUCGUGAAUUCGAUCCCUGGUACCGAAAAAAGUUAAAAAACAAAAGUAGGUAGAUAGGGCUCGUCUUUGGUCCAGGAGUUGAGCUGAAAAGAAUAAGCAGCAUUACAAUGCCAGGGAUCAGGAACCAAAUAGGGUAACUAAACAUGACCUAGCCUGAAAAUUGUGGCUGUGGGGCCUUGGUGAGAUGGAGAUGGGAGAUAGGAGAUGAGAUGACCUCCCAGAAUGUGUAGAAUCUGGGGAGUUAGGGUUAGAAGGGGACCAUGUAGCUUGAGUGAUGUGGAACCAGGGUGGUAGUCCAGCACCCCUGACCACCAUUGAAGUUCUGAGGAAGGCUGGGUAGGGACCACUCCAUUUUAGUUGUAAUCCUUGGAAUGAUUUCCUGUAACAGGACUUUGGUGUUAUGGAUUAAGAACUAGUGGUCAACUUAAUGCCAGCUGGAUUACAUCAGCAUGGCCCUGAGCAAAGAUGCUCCAGGAAAGUUGCCAGCAUAAAUAGGUGGAGAAGGAGAUUGUUAAUGCGUUGAUGCAUUAUUUAUUGUACUGUGUUGAGGCAUUGUGAGUUUUCCUACGAGUUGCUGUUUGAGCCAUUGGUUUUCCUGGAGAAGCUCUGGUCCUCACAUUGAGCAUUGCUUUUUAGCUCCAGAGGGGAAGACGUGUGCCACUUGGUCUCCAGGAUAAACUCGUCACAUUGCCCUCCUGGCAUGUACUCAAUUGUGUUUGUCAUUGGAGAAGCUCGGGGCCUCCAUGUCGCUGAGGAUGGCUGUGGUGCCUUUCAGGACAGCCCUGGUCUUUUUUGUGAGUGUGACUUUUUGGCUCCAGUGUAGAACCCUCAUCUCACCAGCACAGCUUCUUCACUCUGCUGGCAUGGACUUUCUGGCUUCCACCACUGACCUUUGGCCAUUCCCAGCAUGGAUCUGUAAAAGAGACUGAUGUGAGUCCUUUUUGUGGGCUCUGGACCUUCAGUUGGACUCAUGGGAGGCAUAGUCAUGAGCUCUGGGUUUUUAUCUGGACUCAUGUGGGACAUUGCUGUGGGAUUUAGGCCCUUGACUAAAUAUUCUAUGUUCUUGGUGUUGUGAAUAGACUUCCUGCAUUUUGUGUUAAUUCCUGGUGACCAUUAUAAAAAUAUUAUAAACUUCAUGUCCUGAUUCUAAUUGUUCUCUGCACAACCCCUGACUACAAUAGUAAGUACAUGAGCAGUCUCCCUGGUUGUGGAAAAAGCUUUUAUCCAUCUGAAAAAGUAAAAACAAAGGUGAGAAUAUAUUUGAGAGUUUUGUGGCAGGGCAUGUGUAUAAAAUCUAUCAGGGGUGUGUCUGAAAAUUGAUGAAAAGGAAAGGGGGGUGCUAUGUGUCCCUAAGGAGAGGUUUUACUGUAGGGAUGACAGGUGUAAGUUGUUGAGACCUCAGAGUGUCUGGUUCAGUCUACAUAAACACAAGGAAUAAAAAAGGGCAUUUUUAACAUCUCUGACUAUAAAGUGAGUGGUGGAGGGAGGGAUAUGAGAGAGCAUGUAAGGGUGUAAGGGUUUGGCAUCUCUGGGUGGAUUGGGGUAAUGGCAUUAUUGACUACCCCAAGGUCCUGCACUAGACAAUAAGACCCAUCAGGCUUGAAUACCAGGAGAAUGGGAGUAUUAUAGGGUGAAUGGGUAGGCUUAAGAAAACCAUUGUCUAAAAGGCGCUUGAUUAUAGGUUUAAGUCCCUGUAAAUGUUUGGGAGCUAUGGGAUAUUGGAGAACACAAGGAAAAAUUGAAGGAUCCCUGAGAUGAAUUAAAAUAGGCAUGGCAUGGGUAGCGUGGGUGGGAUUAGAAGUAUCUCAAACUAUGGGAUUAACCAGAGAAGAAGGGAGGGGAGGGGAUGGCUUUGCAGCACACUAUGAGGGUGGCUGGAGAACAGAGAGAUAGUGAGAAGGUAAAGGAGAAAAGUUAAGCUUUUGAAGAUCUCUACCUAAAAGGGAUGUGGGAUGCAUUGAAAUUGCUAGGAAGCUAUGGGUAAUGGAAAGAGUCUGGAACCCACAAGGAAUAGGCCUUGUCUGCAAAAGCUGCGUAGGUUGACCAUCAACACCCACUAUAGAAACUAAGGACUUAAUACAGGGUCCUGAAAAAUCAGGAAGAACACUACACUAUACAUGGCCUCUAUGUCCACUGAUAUAGAGAGUGUCUUACCUCAGACCUCCAGUGGGACUUGGGGCUCUGAGAAGGAUACCUUAAUGGAGGGCUGUGGACCCCAAGUCCCAUCAAUCUUCAGCAGCAAGUCCCAAGUAGAUCAGUCAGCAGUGAAUCUGAUGGUGAUGAGAUAUAUGAGAUCCAAGGAGUUAGAGGAUGGCUAGGACAGUUGCUCUUCCAGUCUCCCUUGAGAUUGCAAUAGGGGCAAGGCCCCAGAGGAACACCAGGCUUGGGGCACUCUCUUGCCCAGUGUCCUUUGUUGCACUUGAAGUAUGGUCAGGGAGGGGUUCAGGCAGCUUCACCUUGUCUUGGUUUACCUGUCUCAGAGCUCCAAGUGUCACUGCUGGAAGAUCAGAUUAUUUUUUCUUUUGAUUUUUAUCUCUGUUGUUGAAAAUAUGUAAACCCAUAUUAAGAAGGUCUUUCUGUGGGGUUUAAGGGCCAAGUUUAGCCUUUUGUCUUGGGAUCUGGCCCACAGUUGAAGGUAUCUGUCUCCUCCAUAGUCACAAGACCUCUGGUUUUCUGUGUUGGCUAUUUUGAGGCCCUAGCCUGGUCUGGCUGCCUAUAAUAACCCAAAGCACUGUGAAGAAUAAUGGGCAGAAACUGAUCUGACAGGCUGAAGGGAGUUGAAGUUGUCGAAUGGCAGUCAGGGAUACUCUGUAGAGCUUUUAACUAGUGGCCCUCAGGAGACAGCAGGCAUUUUUAUACAGCUUUAAGUCUAAAGGAGACAAAUGCAAAACAUCAAUUAAGUAUGCAGAAGUCAAGUAAUACAAUCAACAGGUUAUUUAUUAUGAGUAUAAUUUUAGUAAUGGCUUCCCAUAAGGAGGAUAAGAAUAAGGUUCAGGGAAUUUUAGAAACUGGUGUGUCAUUCAUUUGUCAUAUACACAUUUAGCUUUUAAAUUGUGUAAGUACUUCCUAUGCUAUUAGAAUGUCUAAUGCCAUCUGAUUUGGAGGAUGCCAUCUGAUUUUGGAGGAUGGCCUGUUUUAUUAAUUUUACCUUUUUAUUUAGGAGAGAGAUCAGUUGCAGUGUCAUUUAAUACCAGUUGAGUAUAGUUAAAAGAAUCCAAAAGGAAUUUAUAAUUAUCUCUUAAUUUUAGUUGUUGAACAUCCAGAAGAUUGGUAACAGUACAGUACAAUAGAGGCAUUAAGCUUAACAUAGAACAUUAGAUGGAACUAUUAUUUUCUAUUAACCAUGGGUGUUUUAACAUUUGAGCACUGAAGAAAUUUGUGACAUUAUUUGGACUGCUCACUAUUUAAGCGUCUCUAUAACGUAUACAGUACAUAAACUUUUGUUUAAAAAUUAUUAUUUGACUGGUGACCUUACGUUGGCCUGACUUGAAGUUUCCUGGCUAGAGCACAAGAAAAAGGCAGAUGUUUGGAUCUGAAAGAAAAUACUUGUGAUAAACAAUCCCAAUUUUAUAUAUGAAGGCAUGAAUAUACUAUCAGAUCAGCAACAACGAAUUGUCUUAAUUAUGUGAACUUUAGUUGAAGUGUCUCCCAUAAGGCUAUGGAGAUUAUGGAGCCUCUGAUUAAUAAACAAGGACUGGUUAAAGUUACCAGGUGGCCACUUUUUUAUUCAACAAUUAAAGUCCUACCCAAUGUCUCUUCACCCCAAGGGAUUUUUGUUUAAGGAAUUCUAGCAUCAUUUUGACCAGUUGGCUACCUAGGUGGAAGCAUGUUUUUUUUUUUUUAAUCUAUAACUCAACCUGAUUAAAUGAUGUGAAAUUGUAAAAGAGGAAGAAAAAAAUUGUUGAACUCAUAAAGGAACAGAUGUUUACAGAGCAGGCAAAUGGACAAACAGACAAUAGAUAUAUAGACUGACAAUCAUCUUACAAAAUCAGAGUGACUCAAAUAUAUUUGGCCAAUUUGAACUAUAAUAAAUAGACUAGUGUGAACCUUUUUGUGGAUUAAUUAAUAGAGAUAUCUUGAAAUAAGAAUGGCAGCAAAGGAACCUAAUUUAUGUUUUGAUUCUCCUUUAUGUGAGCUGCAGCAAGAUGGUUGCUGAGAAUCAUGCAGCUUGUUGGAAUGCUGGAAUGCAUGCAACUCCGUAUGGUGGGCCGGUGGAGAAAAUGGCAACACGGGGAAGAGGAAAAAGAACCCUCCAGUGGCAUAGAUGGCUCAGGGUUUCCUGAAGUUGCUGAUGAGGUCCACCUGCUGGUCUUGAAUUUCAGCCUCCUGCUUCAGCCUCCUGGAAUACUGGGAUUAAAGGUCAGUUGAAGUGAGGGGUUAAAGCUGUUGGGGCUAGUGUUACAUUUGGAUGCUGGGCUCUGGACAUGAAGAGGACAAAGUGCCUUCUGGCCAGCAGUUUUGUUCAAUUACAGUUUCAGGAAGAAGUAUAAGUUUUAAGUGAGAUGUAGCAAGUGGUACCUGCUGAAGAGUCCCCCUGUCUGCAGUGUGAAGUUCUCACGAUUUAUGACUGAACUUGGACAGCCUUCUCUCCACUGGAGCGCCUGUCACAUACAAGUGAUGUGGUGACAUAGCGGCUGUCUCACAGAGCGAGCUGAACACCGUGGGCAGAUCUCAGUUGGCUGCUCUUCAUUCCUUCCCCAGGAGUCACCAGGAUGCCAGAAGCCUGGAGCCCCAGGACUAUGAGAGUGGCUUUGCACAUGCCCCAAACACUGUCAACCGGAGUCAGCUUCCUGAGAGACUGGACCUGCCCUGCUGCCCGCGCAGGCCCUGGAAGAUCACCCCACAGCCCUCUCCGCUGGAGGGAGUUUGGUGACAGAAGAACCUACAGCACAUCCUUCAUCAAAGGUUGUUAUGUUACAGUGACAGCUAUAUUAUGAAAUUGGAAGAAACUGUUCAAAAGGAAAGAGAAACUGGGAUGGAGAAAAGGGAAAAAGAAAUAGAUACACACACAAAAUAGCUAAGAUAGUUAUACUACUAAUUUCUGUUGGUUCAUUGAAAUGAAAAGUUUGUGCCUAUAUUAUUUGAUCAAUUUUUUAUGCCUGUAUUUUAUAAUAUGAGCAAGUGCUUUGAAGAUAAUAAUCCACAAUGUAUUAACCAUUGUUACUCUCCUGUCUUGUUUUGUAAUUUUAUAUCCUUGUUUUUAUUGUUUUCCCUUUAAAAUAAAAAAACAAUCCAAACUA